CUCAAGAUCACUGACACACACAGAAAAGCUUACUGGUACACACAAGCUUAUUACAGACAAACUCUCUGACACACACACACACACACAAGUCACAACAGACAAGUUCACUGACACACACAUGCUCACUACAGACAAACUCUCUGACACACACACACACAUGCUCACUACAACCAAGCUCACUGACACACACAUGCUCACUACAAACAAGCUCACUGACACACACAUGCUCACUACAAACAAGCUCACUGACACGCACAUGCUCACUAUAAACAAGCUCACUGACACACACAUGCUCACUACAGACAAG